GACAGAGGGUGCAAACGUUGUUCGGAAUUACUGGGCGUAAAGCGCGUGUAGGCGGCCCGUUAAGUCAGAUGUGAAAUCCCUGAGCUCAACUCAGGAACUGCAUUUGAAACUGCCGGUCUAGAGUGGUGGAGAGGGAAGCGGAAUUCCUGGUGUAGAGGUGAAAUUCGUAGAUAUCAGGAGGAACACCGGUGGCGAAGGCGACUUCCUGGACAGCAACUGACGCUGAGACGCGAAAGCGUGGGGAGCAAACAGG
rnacentral:rRNA from 1 species